rfam:Nicotiana attenuata strain TT chromosome 7, whole genome shotgun sequence.
UCGACCUUAGCUCAGUUGGUAGAGCGGAAGACUGUAGUGGGUGUUACCCGAUAGCUAUCCUUAGGUCGCUGGUUCGAAUCCUGCAGGUCGGA